UGACACGAGUUUUAGUUGUCUCUAACAACCAUAAUAACAACAACAACCUCUCUCUUAUUCUCAGCUAUAAUCUGCUAUAAUUCACCAAUAAUUCAGCUAUAAUCCAGGGAUUACACCACAUCAUCUGUUAUAGAGCAGAGCAUAACACCUUUAGGUUGUUGGCACUGACGGUCACAAUGGCAUCGACCAGUAUAGCCAACAAGAGAGAAUUCUACGAGAGAGAUGAAAGACGAGCCAUGAACGGUGUGGAUGACACAGGUUACCAGGUGGAACUGUUUGUCUACGACCUAAGUCGUGGUCUGGCCAAGACCAUGUCACCUGCCUUGUUAGG